ACUUUCAACAACGGAUCUCUGGUUCUGGCAUCGAUGAAGAACGCAGCAAAAUGCGAUAAGUAAUGUGAAUUGCAGAAUUCAGUGAAUCAUCGAAUCUUGAACGCACAUUGCGCCUGCCAGUAUUCUGGCGGGCAUGCCUGUUCGAGCGUCAUUUCAACCCUCAAGCACAGCUUGGUGUUGGGACUCGCGUUAAUUCGCGUUCCCCAAAUGAUUGGCGGUCACGUCGAGCUUCCAUAGCGUAGUAGUAAAACCCUCGUUACUGGUAUCGUCGCGGCCACGCCGUUAAACCCCAACUUCUGAAUGUUGACCUCGGAUCAGGUAGGAAUACCCGCUGAACUUAAGCAUAUCAAUAAGCGGAGAAAAAAACCAACAGGGAUUGCCCUAGUAACGGCGAGUGAGCGGCAACAGCUCAAAUUUGAAAUCUGGCUCUCGGGCCCGAGUUGUAAUUGUAGAGGAUACUUUUGAUGCGGUGCCUUCCGAGUUCCCUGGAACGGGACGCCAUAGAGGGUGAGACCCCGUCUGGUUGGAUGCCAAAUCUCUGUAAAGUUCCUUCAACGAGUCGAGUAGUUUGGGAAUGCUGCUCUAAAUGGGAGGUAUAUGUCUUCUAAAGCUAAAUACCGGCCAGAGACCGAUAGCGCACAAGUAGAGUGAUCGAAAGAUGAAAAGCACUUUGAAAAGAGAGUUAAAAAGUACGUGAAAUUGUUGAAAGGAAGCGUUAUGGACCAGACUUGGGCUUGGUUAAUCAUCUGGGUUCUCCCCAGUGCACUUUUCCAGUCCAGGCCAGCAUCAGUUUUCCCCGGGGAUAAAGGCGGCGGGAAUGUGGCUCUCUUCGGGGAGUGUUAUAGCCCACCGUGUAAUACCCUGGGGGGACUGAGGUUCGCGCAUCUGCAAGGAUGCUGGCGUAAUGGUCAUCAACGACCCGUCUUGAAACACGGACCAAGGAGUCGUCUUCGUAUGCGAGUGUUCGGGUGUCAAACCCCUACGCGUAAUGAAAGUGAACGCAGGUGAGAGCUUCGGCGCAUCAUCGACCGAUCCUGAUGUUCUCGGAUGGAUUUGAGUAAGAGCAUACGGGGCCGACCCGAAAGAAGGUGAACUAUGCCUGUAUAGGGUGAAGCCAGAGGAAACUCUGGUGAGGCUCGCAGCGGUUCUGACGUGCAAAUCGAUCGUCAAAAUAUGGCAUGGGGGCGAAAGACUAAUCGAACCUUCUAGUAGCUGGUUUCCGCCGAAGUUUCCCUCAGGAUAGCAGUGUUGAACUCAGUUUUAUGAGGUAAAGCGAAUGAUUAGGACUCGGGGCGCUAUUUAGCCUUCAUCCAUUCUCAAACUUUAAAUAUGUAAGAAGCUCUUGUUGCUUAAUUGAAACGUGAGCAUUCGAAUGUAUCAACACUAGUGGGCCAUUUUUGGUAAGCAGAACUGGCGAUGCGGGAUGAACCGAACGCGAGGUUAAGGUGCCAGAGUAGACGCUCAUCAGACACCACAAAAGGUGUUAGUACAUCUUGACAGCAGGACGGUGCCAUGGAAGUCGGAAUCCGCUAAGGACUGUGUAACAACUCACCUGCCGAAUGUACUAGCCCUGAAAAUGGAUGGCGCUCAAGCGUCUCACCCAUACCUCGCCCUCAGGGUAGAAACGAUGCCCUGAGGAGUAGGCGGACGUGAGGUCAGUGACGAAGCCUAGGGGUGAGCCCGGGUUGAACGGCCUCUAGUGCAGAUCUUGGUGGUAGUAGCAAAUACUUCAAUGAGAACUUGAAGGACCGAAGUGGGGAAAGGUUCCAUGUGAACAGCGGUUGGACAUGGGUUAGUCGAUCCUAAGCCAUAGGAAGUUCCGUUUCAAAGGUGCACUUUGCACCGUCUGGCGAAAGGGAAGCCGGUCAAUAUUCCGGCACCUGGAUGUGGGUUUUGCGCGGCAACGCAAACUGAACGUGGAGACGACGGCGGGGGCCCGGGCAGAGUUCUCUUUCUUCUUAACAGUCUC
rnacentral:rRNA from 1 species